AUUUAUCUGGUCAGACGAACGCUGGCGGCGUGCCUAAUACAUGCAAGUCGAGCGAAUCGAUGGGAGCUUGCUCCCUGAGAUUAGCGGCGGACGGGUGAGUAACACGUGGGUAACCUGCCUGUAAGAUUGGGAUAACUCCGGGAAACCGGAGCUAAUACCGGAUAACAUUUUGAACCGCAUGGUUCAAAAUUGAAAGACGGCUUCGGCUGUCACUUACAGAUGGACCCGCGGCGCAUUAGCUAGUUGGUGAGGUAACGGCUCACCAAGGCAACGAUGCGUAGCCGACCUGAGAGGGUGAUCGGCCACACUGGGACUGAGACACGGCCCAGACUCCUACGGGAGGCAGCAGUAGGGAAUCUUCCGCAAUGGACGAAAGUCUGACGGAGCAACGCCGCGUGAACGAUGAAGGCCUUCGGGUCGUAAAGUUCUGUUGUUAGGGAAGAACAAGUACC
rnacentral:rRNA from 1 species